UAGGGAAUCUUCCGCAAUGGGCGAAAGCCUGACGGAGCAACGCUGCGUGAGUGAUGAAGGUCUUCGGAUCGUAAAACUCUGUUAUUAGGGAAGAAUAAAUGUGUAAGUAACUAUGCACGUCUUGACGGUACCUAAUCAGAAAGCCACGGCUAACUACGUGCCAGCAGCCGCGGUAAUACGUAGGUGGCAAGCGUUAUCCGGAAUUAUUGGGCGUAAAGCGCGCGUAGGCGGUUUUUUAAGUCUGAUGUGAAAGCCCACGGCUCAACCGUGGAGGGUCAUUGGAAACUGGAAAACUUGAGUGCAGAAGAGGAAAGUGGAAUUCCAUGUGUAGCGGUGAAAUGCGCAGAGAUAUGGAGGAACACCAGUGGCGAAGGCGACUCUCUGGUCUGUAACUGACGCUGAGGCUCGAAAGCGUGGGUAGCAAACAGG
rnacentral:rRNA from 1 species